AUAAUUGAUACCGUUACCUUAUCUUCCAUCUCUUAAUUCAAUUUUUGAAUUUUUGAAUUCCAGUUCCAGUCUUCAAGCGUAUGGAUCAUCUCUUAUCAUCUCUUAAAUCACAUUAAGAUCUCAGCAAUCUUCUACCAUGGAUGUAGGUAAUGUGUUCUUCGCCAGGCAUGGAGAGUUACGGUAUCCAAUUGAUAUUCAAAAUACGUGCUUCAUAGUGGGCAUAGUUUAUUUCUGUUUCCUCAUCUGCAAUUCGAAUUUCUCCGGUGUUCUCAUGGCUUCGAUCUCCUCUGCCUGUCCCCUGUUAAGAUCAUAUUAGCGAGGUCUGCAAAUAGUCAUUUCAGAAGGUGUUUAUGGAUUCCCGCUUCAUUGAACACAUGUGUUGAUCGUAAUCUUGAUGAUAUCAAUUGCAGAAUGAAGAGAAAUAUUGUCGUGAUGCAAGCCAGUGAAUCAGCAGGUAUGUAGUUGAUCACAGAACAAGCGUAAAUCAUCCACUCCGGGUGUUUGAUUUCGUG
rnacentral:lncRNA from 1 species